UGAGGAAUAUUGGUCAAUGGGCGGAAGCCUGAACCAGCCAUCCCGCGUGAAGGAAGAAGGCCUUAUGGGUUGUAAACUUCUUUUCUGUUUGAAGAAUAAGCUUGUCGAGACAAGUAAUGCCGGUAGGACAGGAAUAAGCAUCGGCUAACUCCGUGCCAGCAGCCGCGGUAAUACGGAGGAUGCAAGCGUUAUCCGGAUUUAUUGGGUUUAAAGGGUGCGCAGGUGGUUUAAUAAGUCAGUGGUGAAAGUCUGCCGCUUAACGGUAGGAUUGCCAUUGAUACUGUUGGGCUUGAAUAUGGAUGAGGUAGGCGGAAUGUGUAGUGUAGCGGUGAAAUGCUUAGAUAUUACACAGAACACCGAUUGCGAAGGCAGCUUACUAAUCAAUGAUUGACGCUGAGGCACGAAAGCGUGGGGAUCAAACAG
rnacentral:rRNA from 1 species